rnacentral:misc_RNA from 1 species
GAUGAAGAACGCAGCGAAAUGCGAUACUUGGUGUGAAUUGCAGAAUCCCGUGAACCAUCGAGUCUUUGAACGCAAGUUGCGCCCGAAGCCAUUAGGCCGAGGGCACGCCUGCCUGGGCGUCACACGUCGUCGCCCCCCCAUCUACUCCUUCGGGAUUGCGGGGGGCGGAUGAUGGCCUCCCGUGCGCCUCGUCGCGCGGUUGGCAUAAAUGCCAAGUCCUCGGCGACGCACGCCACGACAAUCGGUGGUUGCGAAACCUCGGUUGCCCGUCGUGUGCGGUCGUCGCGCAUCGAGGGCUCGAAAAAUUGCCGGGCUCCGGCUCGGCUUUCAACGCGACCCCAGGUCAGGCGGGGUUACCCGCUGAGUUUAAGCAUAUCAAUAAGCGGAGGA